CACUCUCUCUUGCCUCAUCCACAAGCCGCACUCCCCACUACCUCUGUUGCCGGUGCCAAGGGAUUGCCCCUCCCGUGCCUCCCCUCCGCCGGCGAGACGACUUCCUCCUCCUCUACGCCCAUGCCUCUACAGAGAGUUCUGCUCCCUUCCAUGCCUCCUCACCGCUGCUGUGACGACCAACCCCCUCCCCUGCCUCCCGGCCGCUACCCUCACUCCGGCCGCACUCCCCCAUCGUAGAUCACGGUCACCAGAGAGCCGGCACCAUCAUCUGCACCUGCAUCUAGUUCUCCAGUAGCCCGUGAAGAUAAAUCAUGUAAACUCACAGCAAAUAUGGCCGCAAUGUCCAAUAAAGAUAUCCCUGGGGCUGAAGCCCAGGCUUACAAUGACGAAAUCCCUGUCAAGUUAUGUCAGUUUGAUGGUGAUCCCAUUGGUUCUCUUGCAAAUGUCCUUGCUGAACUACUCCAACAUGAAGAUUCUUGUUCUGGGGAUUCUAGAAGACUGACCAACUCUAGUAAGUUAUUGCUACUGAAAGAAAACAUUGCUAAGGAGCUCGAAAAGACUGAACUUAGAUUGAUCCAUUGGAAUGUGAUCUUAAAUUAGUGACAACUGAAUAUGAAAAUAAGGCUCUUGAAAAUGCACAAAACCCUUUACCUUCUAGUGGGACGCCAAAGGUUCUAGUCAAGCCUGAGACAUGUGAAACAUCAUCUCCUCUGAAAGAACAAGGGGAGCUCUCCCUGCAAGAUCUCCAUGGAAGUUGAGACUUCUCCUGUUCACAAUGUAAUGGCAUGUCCUGGAUUUGUUGUAGCCCAGCUCGCUUCAGCUGCUAACGUUGCCCCGUUGAAACCUUCUGAAGGAUUUGAAUCUCCUCACAUGGAUGCUCAGAGCCAGAGGCAGGAUCCUAGUCCAUGCCAUGAUGGUGUUAAUUCCCUCAGAGCAGAUGGUGGCAAUGACUUAUCAGUCAGGCCUUACUCUCACCAUUUUUACAUCAAUAAUUUAAUCCCUUCAAUUAUUGCUGCGAACAAUGAAAUAGCCAGAGAAUUCAAUGAAUUGGUGUUCAAACUUUUGCCUGCUGAUCAGCCUUGUCUUGAUUUGUCGCCAUUGGCUCAUUUUUCAAGCCAAAUGAAGAAUGGCCUGAGUAUCAGAAAGAAGCUUGCCAUACGCAAAACUGAACUAAGAUUCAAACAAAAAACGCUCACCUUUAAAUUCAAGGUGUUGCUGCACCUGUGGAAAGAGGAUGUGCAUCUCCUUACUGUAAGAAAGCAGCAUCCAAAGUCUAGCAAUCGCACUGAUCAGAGCAACCGUGCAUCACACAGUGGAUCUCAGAGGCAGCGCUCCUCUAAUCGCUCUCGAUUGGGCAUGCCUGAGUGGGGAUAUUGUAAGAAGACGUUUAUAUCCAGCAUUGACAUCCGUCCUCUUUCAUGCAAAUUGUCCCAUGAUUUAUUACAGAGUGGGGAUAUUGUAAGAAGGCGUUUAUAUCCAGCAUCAACAUCCGUCCUCUUUCUUGAAAACAUCCGUCCUCUUUCAUGCUUAUAUUAUAUAGUUUGGUCUAAACAAAACCUGCAAAUGAACAAAAAUAUGGUUAGAAUCAAAAGUAGUUAUCUAGAUAGAACAACAUAGAUGCAAAUAAACUAUGGAAUUUGGACUCUAAGAUGAUCACCACAAUGGAGCUGAUUACUAUAUAUAUAAGUACAAGUGCGAAGUAUCUGACCUACGAUGUAAAGAUCUCCUUCCAGACGAUGUUCUUCGUGUAGGUAUUGACAGGACGCCGCUUCUUUUUGCUUUCAGCAGAGUUUUUUUUCCUUGUUCUGAGCAUCUGGGAUGACAAGAAUCUUGACGUUCUUUCUAGCGGUAGAUCUAGAUAGCGCGACAUAUAACUGCCCGUGAGAGAACACCGACUCGGGCAAGUAAAUACCGGCAUUAGGUAUAGUUUGCCCAUGUGCCUUAUUAACCGUCAUGGCGAAGCUGAGCUUAAUAGGAAACUGUUUCCUCUUGAAGUGAAAAGGGAACAUAUCACCAUCGGAGGGGCAAAGUGGGAUCCUUGGCAGGAAUCGCCCCUCCGUGAUGAGCAAGAAGUGGGCAUGUGGAAGGCCCCUCUUUUGGAACUCAACCACGUACACAUAUGCUUUUACCUUGCCAAGGAUGUCCUUCUGAAGCAACUUGUCCUUGAGUUCCUCUAGUUUCGCCCUAAAGACACGGACAACAAGGUCUGGGCGAUCUUGAGGUGUCUGACCAGGGUAGAGCUCGCGGUUGAUCUCAUCCCAGUUAGGAUUGCAUGUCAUCGUGAGAAAAAUGUCCGGCUUGCCGUACUUGCGCACCAAGGCCAUCGCAUCCAUGUAGUGCGCCUCUUGUCAUGUUUGAUGUUUGAGCACAUAGUUCCUAGAUCAUGAAGGAUAAGAGAGCAAUGCAUAUAUUCAGAAAGGGCCUUCCUGUUUUAUAACAUAGGCGAAUCCUUUCUUUCAUAUAGAUUCCCAUUUUUUACUUAGACAUUACAUAAGUGUGCAACGACUGUUUAUAUAGAUUAAUAGACAUGAUAACAUAAUGUCAUGGAGAGUCCAUGUACAGAACUGAAACGCAAUUCUAAAUUCUAAAAUAGAGUUGAACUUUUAUGUAGAAACGCAUUCAGUUGUAUUUUUUCCUCGCUUGGUUUGAUCUUGUACUCUCUCGUUAGAUAUUAUUACAAGAUUGCAAAGUGAUGUUCAUAAGGUACACAUCAUUUAAGGCGAUGUUCACUACAGUCUUCUGUAUAUGAUUUAUCACAGAUGCUUCAACCGAAUUUUCACUAUUAGGGGCACGUCAUAUUCUUUUCGAUAUUAAAUGUAGCUCGAAUUUUUUUUCAUGGAUAGGAUGGAGCGAUGUACGAGAAUGCUUAUUUUAACUGUUCCAGCAUGUAUUUUUCUACUUAAUGUAAUUAGCUAACUAACUAUACAUUUAUUUUCUGUCACGGAAUAAAUACUAUUUAACUCCGGCUCGCAUCGGUGCACAGACAUAGGUAUUUUUUCGCUCUCCUUUCAAAGCUUGAUAAAAGAAAUCGUCUCAUUUGAAUUGUAUCUAGACACAAAACAAAUUCAAAACAAAUUUUAUGAGACAAAAGGGGGUACUUGACUACCAAAGACUAAUUAUCAAUUGACUAAUUUACGAGCCGAUGCUACGCAGCUAGCCUAUAUAUACACUACCUUAGAUUUGGCUAAAUAUUUCCUUCAUUCAUCCUUUUUGAAAGUAGCUACAUGCAUGGUGCAUGGCCAUAGGCCCAUAGCUAGCCUGCAGUGUUACACACCAGACUAAUCGCUUGAUACAUACAAGCAGAUUAGUGACCAGAACCGGAUGGUGAAGCAGAUUAGUGACAAGCAGAUUAGUAGAUCCACAUCGAUGGACGAUGCAUGUUGCAGGGUACAUGGUGGAUUAGCUAUUUAGAUCAGUUUGAUCAGUUCGGCUAGCGGUUCACUAACUGUGUUAUCAUUAAGUAUUAGUGAACAUCUGAAACUAUAUGAUAUGACAGAUUGGUAUUUGUUCAAACCAUGAUUACUGCAGAUUCUCACAUGAUGGGAAGUUGUUCAAACAAAAUGCUGGUGAUCUGCAUGAGAGUAAAAUAGAUACAAUUUAAUACCUUUUUCUGUUGAUCCGUUGUUUCUCUGAUGGGGAUUCUUCAAACAGCAAGUUUCCUCAACAAUUGGAAAACUGCAUACAACCUAGAGGUGUGUUUAUGUACCUUUACUCUCCCUGAUGAUCCUACCUUUACUCUCCCUGAUGAUCCUAGGAGUUAUCUGGCAUAACAAUGGUUCAAGGUACUAUGUAUAUACCGAUAUUGUUGAUCCGCAAUGAUGAAGAUCCCUGAAAUGGCUGGGCGGUUUCCUUCCCUUUAGCCCUGACAUAAUGGGUGUAAUUUUCCUUUCCUAUAGCCUGAAUUAUAAUGCUGCGAUUUGGUUGACGGAUAUAUACCUGAAAUGGCUGGGUGGUUUCCUUCCAUGUGGCCCAAUGGUGUAAUUUUCCUUUCCUGUAGCCUGAA